rnacentral:lncRNA from 1 species
ACGCUCCAAUUUUCGAACCAGUCAUCCGCUUGAAAACAGCAACAGCGGCGCCGGGUGCCUUCAGUUCACAGCUAUUGCAGCGCUACUCUCGUCAUGUUGACUACGACUUCCUGUGCUAAAGGGCGAACCUGUUGUAAAGACCAAACGCCACGUGCCUUCAGUUCACAGCUAUUGCAGUGUCACCCUCGUCGUGUUGACUAAGACUUCCUUUGCUAAAGGGCGAACCUGUUGUACAGACCAUCAUUUGCAACGACACCAGUGGUGAUUCUGCAUUCCUUCAGAAGCUUCAAACCAGCACGGGCUUCAGCUUGGUGUCCAGCGCUGCAUGGACAUUUGGGGACGCCAAGUCAACUGUAGCAAAUUCUGAAAGACUGCAGACAUGGUGUACAACCUCUGUCUCUCCGUUCCUUUGGAAUAUUGAGGAGUCUUUGGAUGAACUCGCGUUUACCUCUGGCAUGUGUAGCUAGCAAACCUUCACGUGCAUGACGUGGGGGUGAUCAUCGAUGUUGUUGUUGGAUGAGCCAUAGCCAAUGUCAUCGCCGAUCGCAUCAUUUCGGAUGUCAUGACGGCGGUGCAGGGGGGAAGUCAACCAACUUUCCCAAGCUGAUAAAAAUCAACCAACCAGUUCUCUUGGUUGGGGAGUUAUUUGGGUGGUAACGAAGCAGUGGACGAGGCAAUCAAUCGAGCACACCAUUGAGACAUGGAUCAACCUCCACUCAUUGACGGAGUUGUGCUGACUUAGAUCAUUGAUGAUUAAACUUUUCUCUCAUGAGUCCGUCGCAAGCCUCUCCCCAGCAGGCCGCACUAAAUCCUCCAACGUCUCCUGAGUCGUUUCGUCCAAGACACCCAACUAGACACCAAAACGGCCCCGCUGAUAGCGAUCCAUGAUGUCCAAUGCAUCAAUGAUGACUCCUGGGCUUACUUACGCUUCUUCGGCGGCUACUCUUUGUUGUAGGCAUGGGAGGGCUCGGGAAGGGGGCGGAGUUUGAGGCUCUGGAAGGGAGGGAGAUCUUGAACAGUCUGCUGUGUAUCGACGUCCAGCUUGAUGGGCUGGAGUCUAGCAACAUGGAACCAUUGCUGUGCCAGUUGCUGGAAAGGGCAAACAUGCCCAGAGAACUCAACAAAUUGAUGAGAAUGAGGUUGAUCACAUUGUCAACAAGGAGUGUGAAAAACUGGACAAGAGACUUGGAGAGGGGGCCAAGGUGAGCUUGCCGACACCCAAGAUUUGCAGAGGGCAGAACUGGACUUGGCUGUUUUGGGCAGAGAUGUAACCAGAUCAGUCACGUUGAAUAGAUUUGAGACUGAAUGACUCUUAGUUAACUUGUGAUGACUUGUGACUGAUUUUGUAAACAGUUCGGCUUAAGGCUCGACUAGGUAGUCUUGUAUUUUCCAGUUAAACAUUUAUUUGCGGUAAUUUUUCUUGGUAAUAUGCGAGACCUGUCGAUGCAAACUUGCAAUUUACACAUUCAUUUUGAAACAAUACACCCAAGAAGUCUGACAUCAUGCAAGUCGUCUAAGUGGUAAGUCUAAACAAUGUCUUGUUCGCCACUUUUACCUUCGGAUUUGCACAGGCAUAAGUUGAACAUGUUUUGAUAAAAAGUAAAUGGUAAGCCCUUAUCGUAUUGAAUUUGUGAUAAAAACUUAACUUUCCCCAUUUUUAUAAAAAUGCAAGGCUAACCCUUACCGUAUUGAAAUUUUGAUGAAAAUUUACGUUCGUGCUAUUUUUUGAUAAAAACUACCAUAAAAACUAAGUUUGUUUUUGCCCCUUUUUGAUAAAAAUGCGAGGCUAAUCCUUUACAGUUUUGAAUAUCUGAUGAAAAGUUAACUUUUGACCAGUUUAUGAUAAAAAUUCAAGGCUAACCACGAACCGGUUCGAAUAUGUGAUAAAUAAUUCUUUUUGUCCCUUUUUGAUAAAAAUGAAAGGCUAAUCCACUACCGCUUUGAAUUUGUGAUAAAAAAAAUUUUGCCCUGUUUUGAAAAAAAAAAUGCAAGG